CGUAGGGUGCAAGCGUUGUCCGGAAUUAUUGGGCGUAAAGAGCUCGUAGGCGGUUUGUCGCGUCUGCUGUGAAACCCCGAGGCUCAACCUCGGGCCUGCAGUGGGUACGGGCAGACUAGAGUGCGGUAGGGGAGAUUGGAAUUCCUGGUGUAGCGGUGGAAUGCGCAGAUAUCAGGAGGAACACCGAUGGCGAAGGCAGAUCUCUGGGCCGUAACUGACGCUGAGGAGCGAAAGCAUGGGGAGCGAACAGGAUUAGAUACCCUGGUAGUCCAUGCCGUAAACGUUGGGAACUAGAUGUAGGGACCAUUCCACGGUUUCUGCGUCGCAGCUAACGCAUUAAGUUCCCCGCCUGGGGAGUACGGCCGCAAGGCUA
rnacentral:rRNA from 1 species